UAUCGCCCUUAGAGUUUGAUCCUGGCUCACGACGAACGCUGGCGGCGCGCCUAACACAUGCAAGUCGAACGAGAGAUGAGGAGUUUGCUCUUCAAAUCGAGUGGCGAACGGGUGAGUAACGCGUGAGGAACCUGCCUCAAAGAGGGGGACAACAGUUGGAAACGACUGCUAAUACCGCAUAAGCCCACGGCUCGGCAUCGAGCAGAGGGAAAAGGAGCAAUCCGCUUUGAGAUGGCCUCGCGUCCGAUUAGCUGGUUGGUGAGGUAACGGCCCACCAAGGCGACGAUCGGUAGCCGGACUGAGAGGUUGAACGGCCACAUUGGGACUGAGACACGGCCCAGACUCCUACGGGAGGCAGCAGUGGGGAAUAUUGCACAAUGGGGGAAACCCUGAUGCAGCGACGCCGCGUGGAGGAAGAAGGUCUUCGGAUUGUAAACUCCUGUUGUUGAGGAAGAUAAUGACGGUACUCAACAAGGAAGUGACGGCUAACUACGUGCCAGCAGCCGCGGUAAAACGUAGGUCACAAGCGUUGUCCGGAAUUACUGGGUGUAAAGGGAGCGCAGGCGGGAGAACAAGUUGGAAGUGAAAUCCAUGGGCUCAACCCAUGAACUGCUUUCAAAACUGUUUUUCUUGAGUAGUGCAGAGGUAGGCGGAAUUCCCGGUGUAGCGGUGGAAUGCGUAGAUAUCGGGAGGAACACCAGUGGCGAAGGCGGCCUACUGGGCACCAACUGACGCUGAGGCUCGAAAGUGUGGGUAGCAAACAGGAUUAGAUACCCUGGUAGUCAACACCGUAAACGAUGAUUACUAGGUGUUGGAGGAUUGACCCCUUCAGUGCCGCAGUUAACACAAUAAGUAAUCCACCUGGGGAGUACGACCGCAAGGUUGAAACUCAAAGGAAUUGACGGGGGCCCGCACAAGCAGUGGAGUAUGUGGUUUAAUUCGACGCAACGCGAAGAACCUUACCAAGUCUUGACAUCCCUUGACGAACAUAGAAAUAUGUUUUCUCUUCGGAGCAAGGAGACAGGUGGUGCAUGGUUGUCGUCAGCUCGUGUCGUGAGAUGUUGGGUUAAGUCCCGCAACGAGCGCAACCCUUAUGGUCAGUUACUACGCAAGAGGACUCUGGCCAGACUGCCGUUGACAAAACGGAGGAAGGUGGGGAUGACGUCAAAUCAUCAUGCCCUUUAUGACUUGGGCUACACACGUACUACAAUGGCGUUAAACAAAGAGAAGCAAGACCGCGAGGUGGAGCAAAACUCAGAAACAACGUCCCAGUUCGGACUGCAGGCUGCAACUCGCCUGCACGAAGUCGGAAUUGCUAGUAAUCGUGGAUCAGCAUGCCACGGUGAAUACGUUCNCCGGGCAUUGUACACAGCGCCCGUC
rnacentral:rRNA from 1 species